AUUGAACGCUGGCGGCAGGCCUAACACAUGCAAGUCGAACGAGUGGCGGACGGGUGAGUAAUGUCUGGGAAACUGCCUGAUGGAGGGGGAUAACUACUGGAAACGGUAGCUAAUACCGCAUACCAUCAGAGGUGCCCAGAUGGGAUUAGCUAGUUGGUGGGGUAAUGGCUCACCAAGGCGACGAUCCCUAGCUGGUCUGAGAGGAUGACCAGCCACACUGGAACUGUGAGACGGUCCAGACUCCUACGGGAGGCAGCAGUGGGGAAUAUUGCCGAAUGGGCGAAAGCCUGAUGCAGCCAUGCGGCGUGUAUGAAGAAGGGCUUCGGGUUGUAAAGUACUUUCAGCGGGGAGGCGUUACCCGCAGAAGAAGCACCGGCUAACUCCGUGCCAGCAGCCGCGGUAAUUC
rnacentral:rRNA from 1 species